rnacentral:rRNA from 1 species
GACGAACCGUCCAAACGUUAUUCGGAAUUAUUGGGCUUAAAGGGUGCGUAGGCGGCGCGGAAAGUUGGGUGUGAAAUCCCUCGGCUCAACCGAGGAACUGCGCCCAAUACUACCGUGCUUGAGGGAGAUAGAGGUGAGCGGAACUUAGGGUGGAGCGGUGAAAUGCGUUGAUAUCCUAAGGAACACCGGUGGCGAAAGCGGCUCACUGGAUCUCUUCUGACGCUGAGGCACGAAAGCUAGGGUAGCGAACAGG